GCCAGUUGGAGCUGGUACAUUUUAAUUACUUGCUGUCUUCACUGGAGUGCAGUGCUGCAAGCUCGAAGUGUGAUCCGUAGUAGCUGUUAUUCAAUACCAUUACUUUGAUUUCAUACAUCAAUCAGUGUAUACAAUGCCACUUCAAGAUGAACACACCUAAUAUCAGCUUACCCCCAAGCCAUCCAAGAGAUGCUCUUAAGGACAACGCCCUGAUGUCCAAGGUCAAUCAGCAAGAAGCUGAGAAGGCACUGUCAAAUUGGUUCACUGGGGCAAGGGACAGAGGAGGACAGAGAGCAUCAAGAAUGCAGAAAAGGAUGUCUGUUUGAGAAAGGUUAUAACUACAGUUGCUGAUUUGAACUGUCAUAGUUCUUUUAUUUUUCUUAAAGGAAAACCUUUUUCAAUAUUUUACCAUGUUCUUCCCUCAACUUAGAUGAAUUAAUACAUACCUCUAUUUUCUCAAUGCGUGCACUUAAAGGUGGGGUGCACAAUUUCUGAAAAAUAAAGUUUUGGAAAAGGGAGUCGGGCCGACUACCAAAACACACUUGUAGCCAAUUAGCAGCAUGUCUACUAACUGACAUCGUUUCCUGCGUUGCGUAUUUGUGGGGCGGGUCUAUCAAAAAAAGGUCCAGAUUCUAUUAGUGUAAGCGUGUGUUUGUUUAGAUGAUUUCAAAUGUAAACAUUGGCUUUCAUGCACCCUGCCUUUAUUUGUUGUGAAUUGUGGCGUGAAUAUGUUAGCAUUUAGCCUAGCACCAUUCAUUCAUUAAGAUCCAAACAGGGAAGAAUUUAAAAGCCACCAAACACGUCCAUGUUUUCUAGGGGUGCACGAUUCAGAAAAUUUCACGAUUCGAUUCCGAUUUUUUUGGGCUCAAGAUUCGAUUAAAAACAAACGAUUUUCGAUUUAAAAACGAUUCUUGAUUUUAACAAACGAUUCACAUUAUGUAAAUGUAGUUUACUUUUUCCUAUGUGACUGAUUGAAGUAGAUAUACAAUUUUAAAGAAAAGAAACACAACAAGCUAAAUGUAGUUUGAUGUUACUUUAUGUCUUUAUGCAAAAAUAAAAACUGUUAUGAAGCAAUUAGAUGACCCCUUUUUAUCAAACUCUAUUAAAUACAAUAAUAUAGUACAUUAAUGAUAGACAGUGCAGGUCUAUAGAUUAUAAAUGUGACUGGUGUUAUAAUGGUUAUUAUUUCUAUUAGAUAGGCACUUUUCCUGCUUCUGCUCUUUCUAUCUAUUUCUCUCUUGCAGAUUUAAAAAAGCUAAAUCCACUCAUUAUUUCAGAUUGAAAAGUCUACUUGCUGUUAGUGACAGGGGACUUUACAUUACAGCUUUGGGUUUUGUAAAUCUUGAGUCAGCUUGAGUUUUGCUCAUUCAGUGCAAUAGAUUUUGGAAAAGAUAUGGUUUAUUAAUAAUAAUAGAAAAGAGCCAGUUGUUAUCGCCAUAGAAACCGUCGGCACGCUGAAACUGCACGCAAGCUUUAGCGCGGUAGCGCUCACGGCCAUUCUCCGAUCGACUUAGGUUUUACACACAAUAUUAAUCAGACUUGGGACCCGAAGUAAUUUAACUAUGACUGACCCGGACCGGGCUGACCAUUUCAAAUACAAACCCGGAACCAUACGGGCCGCGGGUGCUCCGUGAAGUCCUCUAAUGGUAAAACUCUGCUCAAGUUCAGAAACAUGAAGGAUACAAUGUGACACGAGCUUGUUCACGUCGCAUCCCAAUUCAUUGAGAAACAGAGAGCACGUGAACGCACACAAAAUGUCAUUAUUAAAGAGUGUCAUCAUCACAGAAAAACAUAAAAGACUAAAUUUGAUGCCAGAUAUACUUGGGCACUUGUUAAUAUAACUGGGCAGCGCACCCAAGUAAAGUCAAUAUGUGGGAAACACUGUGACAAGAGUGUGCGGGCGUCAGAGUGAAUACGACGCAGCGUCAUCUAUGGGAAUACUGAGAUAAACUAAUUUCAGGACAUUAGUAACACAGCAUUACAAAAAAAUUUAUGAAUCGAUUUUUGGAAUUCUAUUAAUCAAAUGUGAAUCGAUUUUUUUGCACACCCCUAAUGUUUUCCCUAUUCAAAGACUGUUACAUGAGUAGUUACACGAGGAAGUAUGGUAAAAAAUAUAACUAUAUUGCACUUAGUUUGUAGCACUUCGACCUUGGGCACAGUAACAUCAUCACUCCUGACUACUCCCCCUCUUGCUUAAACUACGGUCAAUAUAACCAACACGCCUGUACUAACGUAGUAGAUUGAGCAGACUCUGCGAAAUAGCAAGUUAAGUUUAAGUGUACACAUUGAGAAAAGAGAGAUAUGUAUUUAUUCGGCUAAGUUGAGGGAAGAACAUAGUAAAAUAUUGAAAAACUGUGUUUGUAAUUAUCUUACUUUCAUUUACUUUUAAAGGCGCCAUUUCACAAGAGUUUUUUAAGAUGUAAAAUAAAUCUUUUGUGUCUCCAGAGUACAUAUAUGAAGCUCUAGCUCAAAAUAUCAUAUAGAUAAUUUGUUAUAGCAUGUUAAAAUUGACACUUUGCAGGUCCGGGCAAAACUGCGUCCUUUAAACGUGUCCUUUAAAAUGCAAACACAGAUCACAAUGAUGGUGAUUUGUUGAGAUUGAAACUCAGUUGUGCUGUCAAUUAUUUUUUCUCACUCUCUGCACUAAAUGGCAGUGCCAUGUUUGGAUAGUGCAGAUUUAGGAGUGUUAUUAUUAUAAUAAGAUCCUCUUCUGAUAUCACAAGGGGAGCCAAAUUUCAAUUACCUAUUUUUUCACAUGCUUGCAGAGAAUGGUUUACCAGGUUUUCAUGAUAUGGCCCCUUUAAAUAUAAUUGUUUUCAAAUUUUAUUUGCAAUAAACUUAUCAAAGUACAUACCUCCUUAUACUAUAUACGGAGGCUAGAAAAGGAAUGUAAAUCUUUUGGAAUUUCAUACUUUUUUUUAAAAUACAUUUUUCAUAAAAUGUGAUCUGAUCUCCAUCUAACAUAAUGUGUCUAAAAAAUAACACAACUUCUGAUCUUUCAUGUCUAUAUUGAACACACUUGGAGGCCAACCACAUCAAACGUGUUUAUGGCAGUUGCAGGCACCUUUUUUGAAUGAUAUUCUUUAGGCAGGGAGUGUUUGCACACUGUUUAUGGGUGCCGAACGCCUUGUGGUUUUUGCCGCCAGUCGCAGCACGAGCUUUUGAAGGAGCGCUGAGGGCGGAAAAGCGCCCGACGUCAUUCCCAUCUUUCCAUUGUCCAAUCGAAUGAGGGGAGAGGCAGGCCUUACGUUGUGGUGAGGGAAGUUUACAGUUGCUUUGAAGAACCGGACUCCACUCUCUCACUCUCUCCUGCGUCUUUGUGCACCUUUCACCCUCAAACAAGGUCGGAGUAAACGCUCUCUUUUUAAAGUUUCUGCUAAUAUGACAGUUAACAGCAAAAGAGCGCUCACGCUUCAAUAUUUGGACUUAUCAUGUGUAUGGCCUUCUUCAAGUUAAUCCAUAAAAUCUCUAUUGGGUUGAGGUCUGGGCUUAUACUUGGCCACUCCCAAAGGCGGAUUUUGUUUUUCUGAAGCCAUUCUCUUGUGGACUUGCUCUGGUGUUUUGGAUCUUUGUCCUGUUGCAUCACCCAGACAAUCCUUCUACAGAAUUAUCCUGAAGAAUUGUCUGAUAAACUUGGGAAUUUAUCUUCCCCUCAAUGAUUGCAAGCUGGCUAGGCCCUGAUGCAGCAAAAAAAGCCCAAAUCAACAUGUUUUCUCCACCAUACUUUACAGUUGGGAUGAUGUUUUCACAAUUAUAUCGCGUGCCCUUUCUAUGCCAGAUGUAGUGCUGUGUGUUUUUUCCAAAUAGUUCAAUCUUUGUUUCAUUAGUCCACAAAACAUUUUGCCAAAUAGCCAUAUCACUCUGUAGCCCAAGACAGCUUGCCCACUGAAGCUAAGCAGGGCUGAGCCUGGUUAGUACUUGGAUGGGAGACCACCUGGGAAAACCAGGUUGCUGCUGGUAGAGGUGUUAGUGAGACCAGCAGGGGGUGCUCACCCUGUGGUCUGUGUAGGUCCUAACACCCCAGUAUAGUGACGGGGACACUAUACUGUCAAAAAAAGCACCGUCCUUCGGAUGAGACGUUAAACCGAGGUCCUGACUCUCUGUGGUCAUUAAAAAUCCCAGGAUGUCCUUCGAAAAAGAGUAGGGGUGUGCCCCGGCAUCCUGGCCAAACUUGCCCAUUGGCCUACUAAUCAUCCCUCAUACUAAUUGGCUAUAUCACUCGGUCUCCUCUCCACUAAUAAGCUGGUGUGUGGUGAGCGUUCUGGCGCAAUAUGGCUGCCGUCGCAUCAUCCAGGUGGAUGCUGCACAUUGGUGGUGGUUGAGGAGAUUCCCCCAUUCAUAUGUAAAGCGCUUUGAGCACUGGAAAAGCGCUAUAUAAAUGUAACUAAUUAUAAAUACCACUGUUGGAAUGUCAAUUUGUUAUUUUGCAAAUUUCAGGGGAAUAGCAAUGUUCCUUUUAGUACUGUAAGUAGUGACUUUCUUUGGUGUCCUGCCAUGGAUACACUGCUUGUUCAGUGUUUUACGUGUUGUAGACAAUCAUACAGAGAGUUCCAAUAAUUCCUUCAAAUCUUUGCAUGUCAUUCUGGGUUGUUUCUUUACCUCAUUCUUCGUGGUGCUCUUGGUGUCAUUUUGACUGGGCGUCCAUCUCUUGGUAGAGUAGCAACAGUCCCAAAAGCAUCUCCAUUUUUAGAUUGUAUGUCUGUAGACUGGUGAAUUUCUAAAGUCUUUGACAUAACUCUUAAACCUUUCCAGCUUCAUGUAAAUCAACAAUUCUUGAUUGUAGCUUUUCUGAAAGCUCUUUUUGGUGAGGCAUGGCCCAUAUAAAAAAAUAAACUCCAAAAGUAAACUUCAAAGUAGCUGUAGUCCACACCUCCAAAUGCAUUAUCUUAAAGAGACUCCAGGUGUGAUAAAACCUGACUCCAAUUUGCUUUUUCGAGGUCUUGUUGGCUUAAAAGUUCACAUACUUUUUUCACAAGCACUAUGAGUUUUUUGGCUGUUCUUAAAUAAUUCUGUUCUUUCAUUUCUUUAUUGCUAAAUUCUUUUAGAACCAUUAUGUUUGUUCAAUAUUCUUGACUUGAAAUUUAUUUAGAAAGCUAUGAAAUUCCAAAAGGUUAAUAGACUUUAUCUUGUUACUGUAUUUAUUGAAGGAUAUACUUUUCAAAACACUCAAGACCCUAAAAGGUUCUAAAAUAGUUUUGUGCCAUUGUAACAAAUGUGGCAUGAUGGUUAGUUAAAUAAAAAUGGAAUUUGAAA